rnacentral:ribozyme from 13 species
UGGACAAAAGAAUUAAAAAAAAAAGAUGACCAAAACCCCAUUGAAAUGACAAAUAUUCACUCACUCCCAAAUUUUGCCACCUCUUCUUCUCUUUCUUCUUCUCCUUUUUCUUCUUUU